GUCCACGCUGUAAACGAUGAGCACUAGGUGUCGCGGGUAUUGACCCCUGCGGUGCCGCAGCUAACGCAUUAAGUGCUCCGCCUGGGGACUACGGCCGCAAGGUUAAAACUCAAAGGAAUUGACGGGGGCCCGCACAAGCGGUGGAGCAUGUGGUUCAAUUCGACGCAACGCGAAGAACCUUACCUGGGCUAGACAACGGAGGACAGCUCCAGAGAUGGGGUCUUCCCUUCGGGGACCUCCGGUUCAGGUGCUGCAUGGCUGUCGU
rnacentral:rRNA from 1 species